rnacentral:misc_RNA from 1 species
AAUAUUACAUUCAGUGCCAAGAGUUUACACCUCAAUCUAAUAAAUAUAACACGUAACAACAUUUUAUAAAUAGCUGUAAUAUUAGAAUUACCAAUUUUAGGAAAACAUUAUCAUGCAUAUUUUCCCUCAUAACGCAAUGGAAAUUUCAGACAUUGCAAAACGCCAUAUAAAUUCUAAAAUCAAAAUUUGAUUUCAAGAUAACUGUAAAAACUUCUACCAAUUAACUACCUAGCAAGGAGGUUAAAAUCAUAAUAAAAUUAAGCAAUACUACUUUUGUAUGCUAGACCAGAAGGGCAU